AGCAGGAAUGAUGCACCUCUGCCUGGCUGAGUGUAAACUAUCAGCCAUUUUAGCAAGCACCCAAUAGUCCUUCAAGGGUGCAUUAGCAAGGGCUAAGUGAACUUGAUCAAGCAUUUGCUACAUGAAGAGUUCUUUAAAAAAUAAAACAAGGAUGGUGAUUUCCCAGGAGAGACAGCACGUGGUCCAUUAGCUCUGAUGGCUUAGCAUCGCCAAGGCCGGGCAAAACGAGCAACUCUUUGGCACGCUCAAAUUCCAAUAGCCCAGAAGUCUGUCAGCGGUGAGAAAGAUACCCACCCUUCUGCGUCAUCAACACUCAAUCUGCAGAGAUCUCAUCUAACAACGGACUUCUGCAACUUGUGCAGCUGCAGUUGUUUGUGAGUACGUUAGUGGCAUCUGCAAAAGCAAAAAUAAAGCAGAAAGAAACUCAGAUUUAUUUCAGUGAUUCAUUUUGUGGAGGUUGCUUAAAAUUUGAUUGCAUGAAAGCUGGACAAUAAAAAGCAGUGCUUGCUUAAUGUGGCUUGUUUCAUGAGGUAUAUGAAAAAUUGCACAGGAGCUCUAAAAACAAUCAGUAAAGGAACAGCACGACAAAUCUUCCACCAUCAUUACAGUUGACAAAGGUCUAUUUGUUAAAUUUUCGUCAUUUUUAUCUCAAUAUCAGCGAAUGCUCAACAUAUAAGAGAAGACACAACAGAAAAGAAAGGCUGCUGAUGACAAAGGCAGCAUUGUGAAGACCAGACCAGAGAGAACCUGGCUCAUUGCAGAUGGAAAGCAGAAGUGGAAACUGAAUUAAGAGAGACAGAUCAGAUGAGAGAAAACAAAUAGCUGAUAACAUAAAUGUGAAUUCAAAUGUUUUACAGGGAAAUAUUUACUAUAUGUUUAAAUAGUACAUCAUUUGGAGUGGAGCCAAACAUGAGCUAAAAAUGUGAACAUAUCCAUUGGUAAUGAGGGCAGUGAUAAAGUACAAAAUAAAUACUUGGGAUUGUUGUGUAUUUAAUAUUGAAGUAUGUUUGAGUACUCUUGUGUAUAUAUAUUUAUUAUGCAUUCUCAUUCAUUCAAAUAAUUCAUUACAAAUUAUAGGUAAGGAAAGCAAAUGUGAUGCUAGCAUUCACUUCAAGAGGACUAGAGGAAAACAAGGAUGUAAUGUUGAGACUUUAUAAGGCACUGGUGAGGCGUCAUUUGGAGUAUUGUGAGCAGGUUCGAAAGGAUGUGCAGAAACUGGUUCGAAAGGAUGUGCUGACACUGGAGAGGGUUCGAAGGAGGUUCACAACAAUGAUUCCAGGAUUGAAUGGCUUGUUUGAUGGCUCUGGGCUUGUAUUCCUGGAAUUCAGAAGAAUGAGGGGUGACCUCCUUGAAACCUAUCGAAUUGUGAAAGGCCUUGAUAUGGAUGUGGAGAAAAUGUUUCGUAUGGUCAAAGAGUCUAAGACCCAAGGACACAGCCUCAGAAUAGAGGGGCAUCCUUUUAGAAUGAAGAUGAGAAGGAAUUUCUUAGCCAGAGAGUGGUGAAUGUGUAGAGACCAAGACUUUAUGUACUGGUAUAUUUUAGGCAGAGGUUGAUAGAUUUUUUUUAUUGGUCCGGGUAUGAAGGGAUACAGGGAGAAGGCAGGAGAUUGGGGCUGAGAAGAAAAUUGGAUCACCGAAUUAUAGGAAAGAUGUCAAUAAAAUUGAGACAUUACAGAGGAGGUUUACUAAAAUGUUGCCUGGGUUUCAUCUCCUAAGUUACAGAGAAAGGUUGAACAAGUUAGGUCUUUAUUCUUUGGAGCGUAGAAGGUUGAGGGGGGACUUGAUAGAGUUGUUUAAAAUUAUGAGGGGGAUAGAUAGAGUUGACAUGGAUAGGCCUUUUCCAUUGAGAAUGGGGGAGAUUCAAACAUGAGGACAUGAGUUGAGAGUUAAAGGGCAAAAGUUUAGGGGUAACAUGAGGGGGAACUUUACUCAGAGAGUGGUAGCUGUGUGGAAUGAGCUUCUAGCAGAAGUGGUUGAGGCAGGUUCAAUGUUGUCGUUUAAAGUUAAAUUGGAUAGAUAUAUGGACAGGAAAGGAAUGGAGGGUUAUGGGCUGAGUGCAGGUUGGUGGGACUAGGUGAGAGUAAGAGUUCGGCACGGACUAGAAGGGCCGAGAUGGCCUGUUUCCGUGCUGUAAUUGUUAUAUGGUUAUAUGGUUAUAUGGAUCAGCCAUGAUGAAAUGGCAGAGCAAACUCGCUGGGCCAAAUGGCCUAAUUCUGCUCCUAUAUCUUAUAUGUAUAAAUAUGUGAAAUACAUAUGUCAUCAUGCAGUCAUGUGAUACAUGUCUGCCUCACAAAAUAAUCACAAAGUUAGAUCUGUAUUUCGGACUCCUGUGUCUUCCAUUGAAUUUGUUUAAAUGUUUUGAAGGUACAAAACAUAAUAUUGGGACACAGCUCCCAGCCCUGGAGGACACCUACAGCUCUCGCUGCCUGAGGAAAGGACCAUACACACCCAUGCAAUCAUUUGUUUCAACUUCUUCCAUCUGGCAGACAUUAUAAGAUUUUCUAUGCCCGCACUUCCAGACUGAAAAAUAGCUUUUUCCCCAGAGCUAUAAUUGCUGUGAACCAAUCGAUCAAGCAUCAUCCAUAAAUUUGUUAUAUUGCUACUUUAAUACUGGUUUUAUGGCUGUCAUGCAUCUGAGUUGUGUUUUUG